rnacentral:rRNA from 1 species
UACGUAGGGUGCGAGCGUUGUCCGGAAUUAUUGGGCGUAAAGGGCUCGUAGGCGGUUUGUCGCGUCGGGAGUGAAAACCUCGGGCUUAACUCGGGGCUUGCUUUCGAUACGGGCAGACUGGAGGUAUGCAGGGGAGAACGGAAUUCCUGGUGUAGCGGUGAAAUGCGCAGAUAUCAGGAGGAACACCGGGGGCGAAGGCGGUUCUCUGGGCAUGACCUGACGCUGAGGAGCGAAAGCGUGGGGAGCGAACAGG